rfam:Rattus norvegicus chromosome 10, whole genome shotgun sequence.
GGGGAUUUAGCUCAGUGGUAGAGCACUUGCCCAGGAAGCGCAAGGCCCUGGGUUCGAUCCCCAGCUCCG